rnacentral:rRNA from 1 species
CAUAUCAAUAAGCGGAGGAAAAGAAACCAACAGGGAUUGCCCCAGUAACGGCGAGUGAAGCGGCAACAGCUCAAAUUUGAAAUCUGGCCCCAGGCCCGAGUUGUAGUUUGCAGAGGAUGCUUUUGGCGCGGUGCCUUCCGAGUUCCCUGGAACGGGACGCCAUAGAGGGUGAGAGCCCCGUACGGUUGGACACCAAGCCUUUGUAAAGCUCCUUCGACGAGUCGAGUAGUUUGGGAAUGCUGCUCUAAAUGGGAGGUACAUUUCUUCUAAAGCUAAAUAUUGGCCAGAGACCGAUAGCGCACAAGUAGAGUGAUCGAAAGAUGAAAAGCACUUUGAAAAGAGGGUUAAACAGCACGUGAAAUUGUUAAAAGGGAAGCGCUUGUGACCAGACUUGCGUCCGGUGAAUCACCCAGCUCUCGCGGCUGGGGCACUUCGCCGGCACAGGCCAGCAUCAGCUUGCCGUCGGGGACAAAAGCUUCAGGAACGUGGCUCCUCUCGGGGAGUGUUAUAGCCUGUUGCAUAAUACCCUUCGGCGGGCUGAGGUACGCGCUCCGCAAGGAUGCUGGCGUAAUGGUCAUCAGCGACCCGUCUUGAAACACGGACCAAGGAGUCAACCUUAUGUGCGAGUGUUUGGGUGUCAAACCCCUACGCGUAAUGAAAGUGAACGCAGGUGAGAGCUUCGGCGCAUCAUCGACCGAUCCUGAUGUUCUCGGAUGGAUUUGAGUAAGAGCAUAUAGGGUUGGACCCGAAAGAAGGUGAACUAUGCGUGUGUAGGGUGAAGCCAGAGGAAACUCUGGUGGAGGCUCGCAGCGGUUCUGACGUGCAAAUCGAUCGUCAAACAUGCGCAUGGGGGCGAAAGACUAAUCGAACCUUCUAGUAGCUGGUUCCGC